UACGUAGGGGGCUAGCGUUGUCCGGAAUCAUUGGGCGUAAAGCGCGUGUAGGCGGUCCGGUAAGUCCGCCGUGAAAGUCGGGGGCUCAACCCUCGAAUGCCGGUGGAUACUGUCGGGCUAGAGUGCGGAAGAGGCGAGUGGAAUUCCUGGUGUAGCGGUGAAAUGCGUAGAGAUCGGGAGGAACACCAGUGGCGAAGGCGGCUACCUGGACCAGCACUGACACUGAGGCACGAAAGCGUGGGGAGCAAACAGGG
rnacentral:rRNA from 1 species